UCGAGGAUCUUCGGCAAUGGGCGCAAGCCUGACCGAGCGACGCCGCGUGCGGGAUGAAGGCCUCCGGGUUGUAAACCGCUGUCGUGGGGGAGAAAGGCGCAAGCUUGAUCUAUCCCAGGAGGAAGCACGGGCUAAGUUCGUGCCAGCAGCCGCGGUAAGACGAACCGUGCAAACGUUGUUCGGAAUCACUGGGCUUAAAGGGCGCGUAGGCGGCUUAGCAAGUCGGGGGUGAAAUCUUUCGGCUCAACCGGAAAAGUGCCUUCGAUACUGCUGAGCUCGAGGAGGGUAGGGGUCACGGGAACGACCAGUGGAGCGGUGAAAUGCGUUGAGAUUGGUAGGAACGCCGGUGGCGAAAGCGCGUGACUGGACCCUCCCUGACGCUGAGGCGCGAAAGCUAGGGGAGCAAACGGGAUUAGAUACCCCGGUAGUCCUAGCCCUAAACGAUGGGUACUAGGCGGUGGACUUGACAUGGGUUCACCGCCGAAGCAAAAGUGCUAAGUACCCCGCCUGGGGAGUAUGGUCG
rnacentral:rRNA from 1 species